rnacentral:sRNA from 1 species
AUGACAGCCCUGGAGACUGAAGACUUCUCCUUCCCCACAGAGCAGGUGUAGCAAGAGCACUGAAGUGCCAGCUUCCCCCACAUGACCAUGUUCCCGAAAGCUAACCUGGAGAGAUCACUAGAGAGAGUGGCUUGGAAUCUUUGACUUCUUUCCAGAAACUUCCAAC